rnacentral:rRNA from 1 species
ACCUUCGGGCCUCUUGCCAUCAGAUGUGCCCAGAUGGGAUUAGCUUGUUGGUGAGGUAACGGCUCACCAAGGCGACGAUCCCUAGCUGGUCUGAGAGGAUGACCAGCCACACUGGAACUGAGACACGGUCCAGACUCCUACGGGAGGCAGCAGUGGGGAAUAUUGCACAAUGGGCGCAAGCCUGAUGCAGCCAUGCCGCGUGUAUGAAGAAGGCCUUCGGGUUGUAAAGUACUUUCAGCGGGGAGGAAGGUGUUGUGGUUAAUAACCGCAGCAAUUGACGUUACCCGCAGAAGAAGCACCGGCUAACUCCGUGCCAGCAGCCGCGGUAAUACGGAGGGUGCAAGCGUUAAUCGGAAUUACUGGGCGUAAAGCGCACGCAGGCGGUCUGUCAAGUCGGAUGUGAAAUCCCCGGGCUCAACCUGGGAA